AACUUCAUAAACAUACCACGCUUCAUAAACUGUUGUCAUUUUAGUGAGACACCAGCGCCCCCUACAGACCAACUUACAACUCCACUGAUGCACUACCACCAAAACAAACUGAUGGGUUUAGCAAGACUGACAUGAGCAAGUCACAUAUAUUGAGAUACUCAUACUGCCAUGGGAACCUGAAACUGCACAUAAGCUGAAUUCCCAAUGGAAAAUGUCCCACAGUCACCUGUUGCAUGUGCAUUUUCACCUAUAGCUUUCUAGCUUACCACGUGGUGCCAUUAAAAAGUUAAUGAUAUAUAAUAUAUAAUGCAAAAACAAUAAUGAAAAAAAUCUUUCUGAAUUAUUUCUGACUUAUUCUGAGCUAACUGAAGUGAUUUUUACUGGAUGUAUAAAGUUUUCCUCAGGUUUAUACAGGUGUCAUAUAACAAAAACAAAAACAAGCUCUACCAGUAUAAAUUCUGUAUGAAGAUCUUGUCUGGACUCUUAUCAUAAUCUUGUGCAGUUCAUUUCUGCAGGUGAUCUGAAAUGUGUUGAUGCACCUGGUUUUCCACCAACCAAAGCCAAAUCUUGUGCAUGCUUAUAAUAUGACACAGAU